rnacentral:tRNA from 1 species
CCUUCGAUAGCUCAGUUGGUAGAGCGGUGGACUGUAGCAUAAAUUCAAUCAACAAGAGAAAUCCAUAGGUCACUGGUUCAAAUCCGGUUCGAAGGA